AGUAGAGAGAGGGCAAGGAACAGAGGAAUAGCCAAAGAACCAGGGAGCAAAAACAGGAGUGUUCUUCAAGUUUUUGGCUCUUCAUCAACCAUAGCACCAAGAGAAAGAGAAUGAUGGCCAAGGAGGGAGCUGACUGAAGCUUAAGAGGGAGCUGCGUUCCACUCACCCAACUGUUCUUCGAGUUUCUUUGCUAGUUUAUUCAAUUUCUGUUAACACAACUACCACCACAAGCAAAGAGAGGUUUGGGCUCAAGAGAAAAACAGAGACAAGUCUUGUGUAUUUGAUCAACAAAGAGGCAAGGUUGGAGUUCCCCGGCAAUUGUUUGUAACAAAAAAUCCAUCUACUAUCCCUUAUGAAAUCACUAAGGCUGGG